AUGAUGGCGAUCAUGGUGCGACAGUCAACGAUGGUGAGGCCGGCGAGGGAGACGAUGCCGACUCGGCUAUGGAACUCCCACCUCGACCUACUGGUACCGCGCUUCCACACGCCCAGCGUCUACUUCUACCGCCGCCCCGAGGGGGCAGCGGCCACAGAAGGCUUCUUCGACGGCGAGCGGAUGCGGCAAGCGCUGGCGGAGGCACUCGUGACCUUCUACCCGAUGGCUGGCCGCCUCGCCCGCGACAAGGACGGGAGGGUCGAGAUCGACUGCAAUGGUGAGGGCGUGCUCUUCGUCGAGGCCGACGCACCGGACACCACUGUCGCUGACUAUGGCGACUUCGCGCCCACCAUGGAGCUCAAUCGCCUCAUCCCGGCCAUUGACUACACCCAGGAAAUUUCAUCCUUCCCACUCGUCGUGCUCCAGGUGACCUACUUCAAGUGUGGAGGUGUCUCCCUCGGUGUUGCCACACAACACCAUCUCGCUGAUGGCAUGUCCGGCUUGCAUUUCAUUAAUUCAUGGUCUGAUAUCUGCCGUGGAGCUAAAAUUGCAGUUAUGCCCUUCAUCAACCGCACCCUUGUCCGCGCUCGAGACCCCCCAACUCCAUGUUACCCACAUGUUGAGUACCAUCCAUCCCCAGCCAUGUUGUCAUCCAUACCCCAGGAUCUCUCUUCAGUGCAAACACUGCCAACCACCACCGUUGACAUCUUCCAGCUCACCAGAUCAGACAUUUGCCGCUUGCGCUCGCAGCUUCCCAAAGCCCACGAUAUGCCACGGUUCAGCACAUACACAUUGCUAUCUGCACAUGUCUGGCGUUGUGUCUCCCUUGCGCGUGGCUUGCCAUCUGAACAGCCCACCAAGCUGUAUUGUGCCAUUGAUGGGCGGAAACGACUGAAUCCUCCACUACCAGAAGGUUUCUUAGGCAAUGUGUUGUUCACUGCCACUCCAAUUUUGGAGGCAGGCAAGGUGGUAUGUGGGCUAGCAGAUGCAGCAAAGAUAAUCCAAAUGGAGCUAGAUAGGGUGGAUAAUGACUACUGCCGCUCAGCAUUGGACUACCUUGAGCUGCAACCUGAUUUGUCGGCAUUGGUCCGAGGAGCGCAAACCUACCAUUGUCCUAACCUUGGAAUCACCAGCUGGGUGAACUUGCCCAUCCACAACGCGGAUUUUGGAUGGGGACAGCCGGUGUUCAUGGGUCCCGGCGGCAUCGCAUUCGAGGGGCUCGCCUAUGUCCUCCCAAGCGUACAAAAUGAUGGGAGCUUGUACAUCGCAAUCUCGUUGGAGGCUGACCACAUGAAGAAGUUCCGAAAUUUGAUCUUCGAACUUUAA
rnacentral:rRNA from 1 species